GAUGAACGCUAGCUACAGGCUUAACACAUGCAAGUCGAGGGACCGGCGCACGGGUGAGUAACACGUAUCCAACCUGCCCUUUACUCGGGGAUAGCCUUUCGAAAGAAAGAUUAAUACCCGUUAUAAAAGAUUGGCAUGCGUUCCAUUAGGUUGUUGGUGAGGUAACGGCUCACCAAGCCUUCGAUGGAUAGGGGUCCUGAGAGGAAGGUCGCCCACAUUGGAACUGAGACACGGUCAAAACUCCUACGGGAGGCAGCAGUGAGGAAGAUUGGUCAAUGUGCGCUUGCCUGAAACAGCCAAGUAGCGUGAAGGAUGAAGGCUUAUGGGUCGUAAACUUCUUGUAUAGAAGAAUAUGUAUUAUAUGAAUAAGGAUCGGCUAACUCCGUGCCAGCAGCCGCGGUAAUUC
rnacentral:rRNA from 1 species